GGGGGGAGAGGGGCGUCUAAAUUCACCUGACACCGAGGUCGGCCUUUUGCAAGGUGGCCUCUACAUUUCUGCCCAAGGGUAGGGAGCAAAGAAAGAGGCAGAUGCUGUAGAAGGAAAGGCCAUGGAGCCCCUCGUGCCCCCCGUACCCUGCCCAUAGGCCCGUUACCCCAAGCCAACCUGAACAUUGCCAACUGAAAAGCCUGCCGUUAGUCUCCCCGGGCCUGUAGCAUCUUGGGAACGAGAUGGCUGGCCGUGGGGCAGCCCCUGCGGAAGAUCACGUUAACUUCAGCUCAGCAAACCACAACCUCGGGAUGCAAGUUCAAAGAGCGGCAGAAGCAUUCUGAGCAUUGAGCAUUUUUCAACAGAAAUCGUAAGGAGCCACGAGCAAGCGAGAUUGGGUUUGUAGUGAACUGUCCUGUGGUGGUCCGUGAGAGACUCGGGUGCUUUGGGUCAAAACCUGUUUUUAAAAUAUGUGCGUCUGAUGAUUUUUUUUUUAAGUUUAUUUUAUUUAUUUUGAGAGAGAGCAUGCGCACGCGUGCGAGGAAGCACGGGAGGGGCAGAGAGAAACCGUAGAGAGAGCAUCCCAAGCAGGCUCCACACUGUCAGCACAGAGCUCGACGCGGGGCUCGAACCCACGAACCGCAAGAUCGUGACCUGAGGUGAAAUCAAGAGGCGGACGCUUAACCAACAGAGCCACCCAGGCGCCCCGUAAAAUAUGUGAAAAUCCCAGGCGCCCUUUGUGUUAAAACGAGUUUUCGCAGCUUCCACUUGCAGAGAGAGCCGGAUUACAUAAUUGCAUUCAGGAGGCCACCACUAGAAAGUAGCUCAUGUGCACGAUCAACGCUAAAUUCUUUGGGGAGCGGGGGAAAGAACCACACCUUCUUGGACUUUCUGUGUUGUACUUUUCACAAUCGAGCGCAAUGGCCAUCGGGGGUCUUCUUCUGAGCCGUCACAUUGCUUAAAAUGAGUGCAUGUCGGACAUUUCCAGAGGGGCGAGCUCGGUAAGCACCGAAAAGGGAAGGGUCUCCUCGAGGCUUUGACGGGCCCCGUCGGUUUGGGUUUUUCGGAACGAAGGUGUAGAGCCCUUUAACUUCGGAGCAAGUUGCCCUCGUUCAACUCGUUCAAAGACUCUCAGACACUUGGAGGAAGAGGAGGGGAGAAGUUCUAGGCUUUGCUCCGCACAGGCGAACACUCCACGGUGACAUUUGAAAGGCACUGUGGAGGUAAUGACUGCUCCAAAUAUACUCAGAAACGCUUCGCUCUUCAUUGUUCUUUAUGUGUCUCAUUAUUGGCAUGUCAAAAAAAAAAGUUGCAAGUGACACAUGUUGUUCCUCUGAAAAAUAAAGUCCAAGUCCGCAGGUGAAACCUAAGCAUAUACGCGGAAAGCGGAGGCCUGAACGUCACCUCCAGGAGCACAGAGACCGCGUCGCCUCUGGCUGCGGCCGUUGUAACAGAAAGGCAUUUCAUUUACUGCGGGUUCGCCCAUCACUGCUCCAUUCUGCCUUCUGCGGUGCCUGGGAUGCUUAUCGGUACAGAUCUGAGCACAAUCCCCAAGGAGCGAGCAGAAGAAUCCUGAACAUUCCAGUCCAUUGUUUCAGUAACACGGCCCGGCCCGUCUGCUAACUCCACUCUCCGUAUCAGAUUGCGGUUCGGUCCUUGGGGGCUGCAAGGGCCAUCGCCGCCAAGUCAGCUUCCCUUCUGGGGCUUAUAACUUGAGCCACCUUUGUUCUGACCUCAGGACCUUUGCUUCUGCUCUGCCUUCUGCCCCGAGGAGCACUGCCCCCUGGUGUGCGUGGCCGGGCCUUUUUGCCAUUCAGGGGUCAGCACCUCACGGCACCCACCAACACCCGGUCCCUUAUUGUGUUUCCUUCCUGCCACUUAUUACUUACGUGACAUUUGAGCCUUCAUUUGUCUACCUGUUCCAUUUCAGAAUCCCUGACUCAAACAUCAGGCACGCAAACUUGUUCUGAGCUCAUCUCUCCGAAAACACGGUACCGGGCCAUGAGUCACCUUAGACGUGAAAGCAAAAGCUCACUUUAUGUUAGUGAUUCAUUUGUGUUUUUGAAAUUAAACAAUAAUUUCCUUUA